rnacentral:lncRNA from 1 species
CAUCACCUCUCAACUGCAGAUUAAUAAUCUCAUUUUUAUCCUCCUGCUCCUUUAUCUAUACUCCGACAAUAUACAAAUUAUUAUUGUUUUCUUUAUAAAGAUGGCACAGCACUAACACUUCUGUGCAUUAUUGAUAAUAUCCCAGGAAAGCCACUCAGAGUUAUCGGGUGUGGUUAUAAUCUCUCAGUUACCGCUUAAUAUUUCAUGAUGUAACAGCACCAUGACUUACUCAACCACUUCUCUGUAAGGGUAUUCACUUGGUUUUCAGUUGUUUUGUCACUAGAACCAUGUAUCAACAUACUUUUUUCUGGUUUGUUUACAUUUUUUUAAGUAAUCUCUACACCCAAUGUGUGGCUUCAACUCAUGGCCCCAGAUCAAGAGUCCCAGGCUCUUCCAACUGAGCCAGCAAGGCUCCCCAACACAUACGUUUGAAUAAAGACACUUAAUGACUGGCGCUUUUAGAAUCACGAACAGAUUCCUGGAGCGGAAUUACUGGAAGGAACCUGAAGACCCAAAAGGAAUCCUUCCCCUGAGACACCAAAUCAAGUUAAGUUCCUACCCAUCCAGCCAUGUUAGUUUCCAUUCCCUGCACUUCAACUAGUUGGGUCCUUGAAUAGAAAUGAGUCACUUGCACCAAAGAAUCACAGGUAUGUCUGUUCUUUGAGUAAUAACUUGCAAGCUACUGCCUCGACAAUGAUAGUAAAAAAUUGGAAGAAAAAAAACCAGAUGAGUUUUAUGCAGAAAUGAAUCUCAUACUGUAAGGUGAGUUCUUAAAAUGGUAGAUUUCUCUUAGUCUUCCUGUUUUCCCUCUCGAACCUCCACUGAGAGAUAAGAUGCUUGGGCAUUGCUAGACAUCCUUCUACAUUGGGUUACUAAGUCUCUCUGUCUCUGUCUCUGUUUGUCUGUUUCUCCUCACUACACACACACACACACACACACACACAAACACACACACACUAGACCAUAAUUGACAGUCAUAUCAAUAGUGUUAAAUCUCAG